GGGACCCGCGGGCAGGCGGUCGGGGGCGGCCGCCGUCCCGAGGGGUUCACCUCGGCCCCGGCCCCGCCGCCACCCAGGACCAAAGGGCUUUCAGAUGUUUAUGUCUAGUGGCAACUCGUAUCAUAAACACUUGCUUCCAGCAUCAUGACUACACAAUCUGAGUAAGCCUGCAAUCCAGCAAGGUCGCUCAGACUUGGUGCUUCUCCACAUGCCACACAAGUACGUUUGCAUAGGUGAAAGAAAACUAUAGGCAAUCUCUGCUAAUGCACCUGUCCUCUACUCAAAGUUGCUUUCUUUGAUAAUUGUUUGGAGUCACUUCUCAGUGACUGGAAGCUCUGAAGACUUGAGAAGAGAAAACCAGAGCCAGCCUUUCCAAAGAUAAAGUUGAAAAAAAGCAAAUGAGAGAAAAAAAAUAAAAUGCUCCCUUUACCUGAUAUUAAACAUGUAUCUUUACUUGUUUUGAAUUGA